AGAGUUUGAUCCUGGCUCAGGAUGAACGCUAGCGGCAGGCUUAACACAUGCAAGUCGAGGGGUAACAGGAGAAAGCUUGCUUUUUCGCUGACGACCGGCGCACGGGUGAGUAACGCGUAUACAAUUUACCUUAUACAGGAGGAUAGCCUUUAGAAAUGAAGAUUAAUACUCCAUGGCAUUAUGAUAUGGCAUCAUAUUAUAAUUAAAGAUUUAUUGGUAUAAGAUGAGUAUGCGUCCUAUUAGUUAGUUGGUAAGGUAAUGGCUUACCAAGACUUCGAUAGGUAGGGGUCCUGAGAGGGAGACCCCCCACACUGGUACUGAGACACGGACCAGACUCCUACGGGAGGCAGCAGUGAGGAAUAUUGGACAAUGGAGGCAACUCUGAUCCAGCCAUGCCGCGUGCAGGAAGACGGCCCUAUGGGUUGUAAACUGCUUUUAUAUAGGAAGAAACCCAACCACGUGUGGUUGGCUGACGGUACUGUAUGAAUAAGCACCGGCUAACUCCGUGCCAGCAGCCGCGGUAAUACGGAGGGUGCAAGCGUUAUCCGGAAUCAUUGGGUUUAAAGGGUCCGUAGGCGGGUAAUUAAGUCAGAGGUGAAAUCCCACAGCUUAACUGUGGAACUGCCUUAGAUACUGGUUAUCUUGAGUUUUAGUGAAGUAGAUAGAAUGUGUAGUGUAGCGGUGAAAUGCAUAGAUAUUACACAGAAUACCGAUUGCGAAGGCAGUCUACUAACUAACAACUGACGCUAAUGGACGAAAGCGUGGGGAGCGAACAGGAUUAGAUACCCUGGUAGUCCACGCCGUAAACGAUGGAUACUAGUUGUUGGGGUUUACCUCAGUGACUAAGCGAAAGUGAUAAGUAUCCCACCUGGGGAGUACGUUCGCAAGAAUGAAACUCAAAGGAAUUGACGGGGGCCCGCACAAGCGGUGG
rnacentral:rRNA from 1 species